AACGCACAUUGCGCCUCUUGGUAUUCCGAGGGGCAUGUCUGUUUGAGCGUCAGUACACACCUCCUCCGCGGCCUUUUCUGGCCUGUGGCGGGUCUUGGGACGGCUACCGCCCUCCGGGGCGUUGGCCUCCCUAAUGUGGCACGCUUGCGGGCUUUCCAGUCAGAUGCCGACGUAGUAGAUUUCAACUCGUUGCUGCCUGCUGGGAGGCCCCGCCCGGACUCAAACUUCUAUGGUUUGACCUCUGAUCAGACAAGGAUACCCGCUGAACUUAA
rnacentral:misc_RNA from 2 species